rnacentral:pre_miRNA from 7 species
CUCCAGGUCAGUGAGAAGCCCUGUCUCAAAGUGAAAGACCCCCGAAGGGAGACCCUCACUCAGACCACUCAAGUCCCGGGACAGCCGCGUACCCAAGAAGACACUGAGACCA